rnacentral:rRNA from 1 species
UGGGGAAUAUUGGGCAAUGGGCGAAAGCCUGACCCAGCAACGCCGCGUGAAGGAUGAAGUAUUUCGGUAUGUAAACUUCGUAAGAAUAGGAAGAAUAAAUGACGGUACUAUUUGUAAGGUCCGGCUAACUACGUGCCAGCAGCCGCGGUAAUACGUAGGGACCAAGCGUUGUUCGGAUUUACUGGGCGUAAAGGGCGCGUAGGCGGCGUGGUAAGUCAUCUGUGAAAUCUCCGAGCUUAACUCGGAACGGUCAGAUGAUACUGCUGUGCUAGAGUACAGAAAGGGCAAUCGGAAUUCUUGGUGUAGCGGUGAAAUGCGUAGAUAUCAAGAGGAACACCUGAGGCGAAGGCGGGUUGCUAGGCUGAUACUGACGCUGAGGCGCGAAAGCUAGGGUAGCAAACGGGAUUAGAUACCCCCGUAGUCCCUGAGCGGGCUGGCAAGGCGCAU